rnacentral:rRNA from 1 species
ACGAACGCUGGCGGCGUGCUUAACACAUGCAAGUCGAACGGUGACGGAGGAGCUUUCUCCUCCUGAUCAGUGGCGAACGGGUGAGUAACACGUGAGCAAUCUGCCCCUGACUCUGGGAUAACUGCGGGAAACUGUAGCUAAUACCGGAUACGACGCGCGAAGGCAUCUUCUGCGCGUGGAAAGAAUUUCGAUCAGGGAUGAGCUCGCGGCCUAUCAGCUUGUUGGUGAGGUAAUGGCUCACCAAGGCGACGACGGGUAGCCGGCCUGAGAGGGUGACCGGCCACACUGGGACUGAGACACGGCCCAGACUCCUACGGGAGGCAGCAGUGGGGAAUAUUGCACAAUGGGCGCAAGCCUGAUGCAGCAACGCCGCGUGAGGGACGACGGCCUUCGGGUUGUAAACCUCUUUUGGCAGGGAAGAAGCGAAAGUGACGGUACCUGCAGAAAAAGCACCGGCUAACUACGUG